GUGGGGAAUAUUGGGCAAUGGGGGCAACCCUGACCCAGCGACGCCGCGUGAGGGAAGAAGGCCUUAGGGUCGUAAACCUCUGUUGUGUGGGAAGAAGGAAGUGACGGUACCACACGAGGAAGUCCCGGCUAACUACGUGCCAGCAGCCGCGGUAAUACGUAGGGGACGAGCGUUGUCCGGAAUUACUGGGCGUAAAGGGCGCGUAGGCGGUCAUUUAAGUCAGCUGUGAAAUGGUCCGGCUCAACCGGAUCAUGCGGUUGAAACUGGAUGACUGGAGUGCUGGAGAGGCAAGUGGAAUUCCCAGUGUAGCGGUGAAAUGCGUAGAUAUUGGGAAGAACACCGGUGGCGAAGGCGACUUUCUGGACGAUGUCUGACGCUGAGGCGCGAAAGCUAGGGGAGCGAACGGGAUUAGAAACCCGUGUAGUCC
rnacentral:rRNA from 1 species